rnacentral:lncRNA from 1 species
GUUCGUUCAUGUAGAUAUUCAUGGUAAGGGCCUGUUUUCUGAUGAUACCAACUGGAAUCGACACUUCAAUCAUAGACAAAGUUUUCAGAUCCACAGUUAGAGAGGAAUUGUCCCCUGGGAACUGUACUUAAAAGAUUACAGCCAGAAGCUUCAUCUGCACCUGGACCUGGUUUAGAUGAUGAAAUUUUGAACUUUGAGCUUGAUGCUAUAAUGAAUGACACUCUUGAGAACUUUGGAAGGUAGUGAAUGUGUGUUCCAGGUAGAAGGGACAUGAGUCACUGGGGACCAGAGGGCAGACUAUGGACUAUGGUAGGUAGAUCAUGGGAUGGCUCUCCCUGAUUCCUCUCUCCUGGUGUAUACUCCCUCAUAUAAUCUCUUUCCAUUGAUCACGGGCUGGACAUUGGACUUAUAACCAAUAUAAUU